UUGUCAAAGUCCACAGGCCCAACCAUCUCAGCCACUCCACAAAACUGGGCACUAGCAUUCACCGAAAACAACAGAAAAACUGGAAUUGUCCCGUGUUUCUCCUUUGCCUCAUGAUAAGCAGUAUCUAAUUUCUUGUUGCCAUUCAGGGUACUUGCCCAAACACCAUAUUUUAUGCUCUUAUGAACAUUAUCUUCACUGUAAGAUUUGAUAACAAAGAACUUUGCAUCCUUGUAGUCAGUGACAAAAUCCAGGCAGUUAUAUGACUCAUUAUAAACAUCAGAAACUGCAUU
rnacentral:misc_RNA from 1 species